rnacentral:lncRNA from 1 species
AAGAGAUAUGGUAGGCAUUGAAUGGAUUAGAAAAGCUUGCACGGGCUAUCUCAUUAGUCAGGGUGUUCCUCGAUCAAUGGUUCUCUAUCUUUGAUUUGCUUGAUGAGCGGUAUUGGUCUCCUCGGCUUGACGUAAGGAGUUGAUGGUUCCCCCUUCUGUGGUUUAGGGGUUCACGUGAGCUUAUAAACCAAUUGAAUGGCUAAAGUGGCUAUAGUAAAACGCUUUUUUUAUGGUCUUUGACGGGUAUGAUACUCUUAUUACUCUUAUAGUACUUCUGAUAGCGAUAAUAGCCUCUUUUUUGGCUUUAUAGCUCCUCGUACUCUAACUGUAAUGUUAAGGGAGUGAGGGGACCAUUUGAUUAUGGCACUCGAUGGAGUGUAGUUGUCUAUUCCUCUGCUUUCUGCUAUCCUUAGUUAAGAAAAGUAUCUACUGUCAUAAUAGAUUGCACGAGAAGUGAGUUAACUGCCAUUAUCAGAAGUAGGUAGUUGAUAGUUGAGCCUUUCCUCCCUUAAGAAUCCUCCCUGUCAGUCUUCUACUUACCAGUCGAGCUGUUUUCUCCUCUCUCCCCCUUUUUUUAUUUACUUUUUAGAAUUAAAAGAGGUCUUCUAAGGUUGCAGGGAAGGAGUCAAUAGACUGUUACCCGGCAAGAUCCUAUGAAUCAAGUCAGGGGGUAGAUUAAGCCAUUCGAACUUUCGGCACAUCAAGGCUUCGAAAGGAGGGGUUUGAAUCCGAGAGUGCUAAUUCGGCAACUGCAUGCAGCGAAUCCAUUCUUACUGCUAAGCUAAUACCAUAAAGGAAGGUGCGGGGAAUGGUUCUGGUCUCUUGCCCAAGAAAGGGCUAUGCGCAAUAGGGAGAGCUCUUUCCGGCAAAUGUGCUGCGGAUUCAAUAGCUGGGGAUACAAAAAAAGCUGGGAUAACGUCGAAUACUUAAGAUCUUGCCAUCUGUCAGUUGGAUUCUCGACCAGCCUUUUCUUGUACAAGCCAUUCUAAGAGCGCCAUUCAAGCCUUAGCCUUUUCAAAAGAAGGGGAUUCUACAAAAAGGGACAACAUUCAAAGAAAUAAUAUUGACUAUUGGAAAUCCAAUGCUUGUCCGAUUCUUGGCAUCAGAUCUAUUUUCUUAGAGAAAGACAGUGACUUGCACAAUAAACCUGGACUUGCUUGCUCUCAUUCCUUAGGUUGAAGCAGCUUGGCUUGGCUAGAAUAGCUAAUAGGCUAGCUUCCUUGCUAGCAUGCCUUGUGGCGAACUAGACGUAAAAUAGAUUCAAUUCUAUAAAUUUGAAGUAUAAAAAGCUUCUGUCUUCUUGUGUGAGAAAAGAAAGACCAAAGGGCGUAAAGCCAAGUCUCGGCUAAGACCUCGGGAUGGGAUAUUCUGAGGUUUAGUGAGGGGAUAUUCUUUUGCCAGGAGAUAUUUAUAAGUAGUUGUUCUUUUAAGCUUUCCUUUGUGUUGUGACUUCUUUCUUCUCUACAAAUGGUAGAGCCACAGGUCAGUGGAGCAGGUGUAUCGUUUUCAUAGCAGGUUCAUUGCAGGCAUAGCAGUUUAUGGCUUUUCUAGCUGCUUUCUAUAUAAUAUAGUAUAGGAGGAGAACGCUUUCUAGCUAUAGAGCAGUUAUAUGACUUUCAUAGCGUUUAGUAGUUGUAGGGAUAGGUAGCUACAAGUAGUGCUUGAAUGGAAAGACUCUUUUGAGUUGUUUUCUAAAAAGAAGAAGUGCUUGAAACAUAGCUAACCCUUAUGAAGGCAAGAGUGCUUGAAGAGAAAGCUACCCAAAGGAGAAGCAGUAUACGCAAGGUCUAAGCCUUACAUAGUUGUCUUUGAGGAUGACCAUGACUGACUCAGAACUGGACCCGGGAUCUCCCUUUGGGAUGUUCACAUUCUUCCAGUCAAUAACAGGGAGGAUGGGCUGAUCAUCUAAUGGAUCCGCCCCAUAGGAAUCCUUUGCGGCACCUUCAGAUAGGCAGAAACUGUAUGCAAAUCGCAACUGGAUCUCUUCUAGAAAAGAUUUCUGGCCUUCCUUGCCGCAUCCUCGAGAGGUUCUUCCUCAUCGGUUUCUCCGUCUUUGACCUGAUUGACCUUGGGUAUCAGGAGGCUUGACACAUUGGCGGGGACCUUCUUCACUAGCUCCCUAAAACCCAUUUUGGUGAGGAUUGGCAGGANNNNNNNNNNNNNNNNNNNNNNNNNNNNNNNNNNNNNNNNNNNNNNNNNNNNNNNNNNNNNNNNNNNNNNNNNNNNNNNNNNNNNNNNNNNNNNNNNNNNCACCUCAUCUGCACCUCAAAAGAGGGCAUUCUAGAGCAGCUAAAAAUAGGAAAAGCACUAGAAUGUUUCAAAAGGCUAUGGCCCCGAACAUGCCGUUUACCUAAAUGAGAUUUAAAAGGUGGGGCUCCCGAUUUCCUAAUCUGUCUCGAUCUCUAUCCCAUACAUUACGUUGGUAAACAACCACGGUUGUGGCCUAGCUUCUUCUCUAUAUAUUUCUAGUUGAAGAUCUUCAGGAGUUCUUUGGUGUACACCGCUUUGCCAAGGCCGUAAACUGUGUAAUUACUGCUCUAAUUCACCUUUACUAGUCAAUGGUAUUGACGGCUCAAUAGCUUCUGAGCUUGGCUAUCUUUCAUCCGCCCCAAUCUCUCCUGCAACUUUUCUGCUAUUUCUUUGGAAGAAGGUAAUAUCACCUGUUGUGGUGACCACCACGAUGAUGCUUCAUCGAAGACAAGGUUCCGUGAUGCAUAGCAGCGGUUGGUUGUGGGAUCACAACAUUUCUAGUUGACACUCCGGAACACACUAGACUCUUAUGUCCUGCAUUUUCUCGACCGAGGAGUCACUUUCUUUUUCAAGAAACAACUUUUCUCCAAAGCAUGGUCUCACCCAAAUUCUUUUAGAAUGGCUGUGUUGUCUUGGUUCACUGAGAAUUUCAAAAUUAGCCCAAAAAGGUGUACUACCUUCUGCUUUAUGUGUUGGGAAGUACGGAAAGAGCGGAAUCGCCACAUCUUUGAGAAAAAGCAUUUGCCCUGCCCUAUUUUCCAAAUUCACCUGAAAGCGACAAUCGCAGAAUUCGCCCAGGUAUAACUGAAAUGAUACCCUGGCUUCCACCAAGAAGGAGGUUAAGUUCUUUGCUCGUUGGUUACCCCUUUUUUACUUACCCCACUCGCUGCCUUUGGGUUCACUCACAGCUUCUAGCUCCCUUCCUGAAACAACUCCUUACCUGAGCCCAUAGGUGUAGGAAUCUGUCGCAACUGUAGUUGCUCUUUUGUCUUUAUCUAUCGAGCGUAUCGGUCCAUUCCGUAUUCCCGUUCUCUUAUAAAGAAUGGGUCUCUUCCCCUGGCCUCGUUGUCUCUAUAUCGAUCUCUCUUUGGUAUAGGCAAGGGAUCAUCUGUGAAUGAAUCCCUUUACUUUAUUCCUUUCCCAGAAGGUAAGGAACAAACCUUGAACAAGACUAAGAAAAUUGUCAUUUCCUUACAAAAAGAAGAAGCAACUACCUGCAGGUAGAAUAAAAUUGAAGACUGAUGGGUGUGCAAAAAGAAGCCCUGGCCCUCCUGGGAUUGGAGGGAUUGCAAGAGAUGACCAAGGCAGAUGGUUAUUUUCUUUUUAUGGGAACAUGGCAAAAGCAUCAAGUUUAGCUGCUAAACUUUGGGCAAUAGAAAGAUGAUUAAUGCUGUUGAAGGUUAUGAAAUAAAAGAUGGCAUCCUUGAAACUGAUUUUGCAGAAGCUCUAAGUCUGAUUACAAAUGCUGAGAUUGAGGAUCACCCGUGAAGAGUUAUGCUUUAUGCGGGUACCAGAUUAAACAACUCAUAGUGACCCCUGUUCACAGCCUUUGCCAAGGCUACUUUUGUGCAGACUUCCUAGCCAACAAUGAUAGACCUAUCAUAUAUUUGAUACUAACUACUGAAGGAAGUGGAUCGAUCGAAAGAGGAUGGUUCGAUCGACUUCUUUCUCUUGAGUACUAUUGAGGAUCUUGAUCGGCUAGGUAGGGGAGAUCUCCUAUCCCAGUUCGGGCCAAGACGAGGAUACAGAAGUGGAUGGAGGAAUUGCCCUAAUACUUAAGUCAAGAUAAAAGGGAGAUAUGGUCUGGAAUAGGUAUGGGUAGGACUUGGAUGCUAUGAAGGAGUCGACCAAUACUUAGCUUAGGUAUUUGGCUCAGGAAAGAAGGGGAAGAGCGGAUAAGACAGAAUAUAGGUUAUUCGGCUCUGCGAUUCUCCCAUAUAGAAAGAGUUUGGGAAUACAGGGAUGAGGUGCUGGCACUUUGUCUAUGGGCAUUGUAGAAAGGAAAGGUUUAUCCGCUCAUAAUGAUUGUAGAGUCUUUCCAGGUUAGAGGUCUAAUAGUAGUCACAUCAAGUCCUCCCCUUCUUACUCAGGAUAGCUAGCGAGAGGAAUACUACUGAUUAUCUAUGAAAGAAGGCUUUGAAGAAUGAAAAAAAUCUUAUCUAAGGAUAGAGAGCCCCCGCCCGCCUUUUCAGAUACGAGCGAGUGAGCACUUUUUCUGCUAUGAAUGAAUGACCUCUCCAUUUAUUUUCAAGCUUGCUCUUCAAACCGGCCUAUCACUCUCCUCUAUGAAAAGGUUCUUCCGUAAUCACUCUCAGUAAGACAUCUAUUCCCCUUUCAAAUGAAAAGAGAACUAGACCUUUCUCUUCAUCAUUGAAAUCCGCCAUUCAAUCGCAGUGCGGUGCUCUCAAAAAGCUCAGUCCUCUAACGCUGAAAUGAAUAGAUCAGGAAUUCGACCUGGGAUCCGCCCGUUCCGAUCCUUGCUUACUAAACAGUUGCACCCCUGGAUAUGUAUGUUGGGAGAACCCCAGGAUCCUUCCGUGUGGAAGAGAAAGAAGAAAGAAAGCGAACACGAAUACUAAAAAGCGGUUCAUGAGGACCUCAAAAAAAGGGGAUAGAGAGCGCAGAACGAGAUUUCCAAGCAUAAAACAAUCCCUACCUAUACAUUCCAUGGCAACAGACAGAAGGCAAUUUUGUCGUUGUUGUUAACCCCAGGCCCAUUCCCAUUCCCAAUAAUCUCUAUGAAAAGACUACCCUGAUUUCCGAACGAACCGAGGGAGAGUCCAGGCAUGAAAAUUUUUUUAUAUGCUCCGGGUAUUUCCAAGUACGUAUCAUCCGCUGCGUUAUCCACUGCUUUAUCUGCCGUCUCCGCGGCCGCCAAAAGCCUGCCCUCUCUCGGAUAUUGAGUGGGUUGACCCGGGGAUCCGGACGAACCUUCCAACAAGCAGAAUAGAAGUUGACCACAAAGCCAUCUCUGUGGGAGGCUGCUACCCAUAAGGACAUCUCGGGCAUGGGAAGGAAAAGCGGCGGAUAACUGACUGAACUGGGGAGCCUAAACGGCAUUGAGGAUGAGUCCAACAGUCGACAAACGGCUUCUAUCUACAGGUGCUUUCAUUAUGGAUCGGUCGACUUGUCACGAUUGAUUGCUCACACACAAUUAGGUUAGGCAGGCUUGGGGAGGUGAUUUGAAUCGCUAUCGAUACGAUGCGGGGCCGGUUUGCUGACCGUAACAAACUUUACUCUGCCCCUGAAAAAAAAAGAGCGGGGAGACCUUUGACCUAGGCUGGGGAGGGAUUGGGGUCGCUUUGCUUUAGGACUUUAGUUCGUAACAAGGCUCGAAGACCUCCGGCUGGAUUUGAAAUGGAUCAGGUAGGGCAUCCGUUUACGGCGUGGGUGGGAUUAGCAGUUUUCUCUAUUAUUUCCUUCAAUGGUAGGAAAUCUGCAUCCGCAGGGUAUAUGGGAGAAAGCCAGUCUGCAGUAACUCCAAUUGCUCCUUCGGAUCGAAAAUCUUGACUCACACAUACCGCAGUGUAUUCUUGUCAACUCAUAUAGUCGCACCUACCAGCAACAAUACGACUACUCCCUGCACGCCGGUGCUAUUUAACGCCUUGGUUCGCCCAAUACAAGAACUACAGCCCAACCUAGAUUAAGGCUAAAGCCGCGGAUUACGCCCCCUCCCCCCCAUACCUUCAUAUCCAAGCUGGGAAUGAUUUACCUUCGGAUUCAAAUAAUAGCGCAUAAUGGCAGUACUCAUUCCCAUUUCUUCUUUUAUGAUUUUAUCUACUUGAAAUGCUUACAGGUAAGUGCGGAGAAGGUACCCAGGGGGCCAAACAAAACGGCACUGAAAGGUCUUCAAUUAAAGCUUCGUCCUGGCUAAAGAGAGUAAAGAAAAGCUAAAGGUAAGGAUUUUGAGAAUAUGCAACUCCCCUUUAGUUGUUGUCUUAAAUGAGUUCCUCUAUUCAUUUUACUUAUUAUGAGUUAGGAAUUUCUUUUUAUUAAAAACAUUUAGGAAGAUUGGGGAACUGUCUUAAGCAUGUUCAAGCAAGUGUAACGAGGAGACUCUCCCAAGUAAGACCCGAGUGAAACACCUUCCAGAGCGAACUGUUUGCUUUUGUUUAAUCUUUCACUAUUCUGAAUUUAUGCUUCGCCCUCAAGACAGAAGGUCGAUAUAAUAGCUUUUUUAGAAUACUUAACUCUUAGUCUUUUUUCUUCUUGCUCGUUUCCUUUAAAGCUUUGCCAGUACUGAAAGACGAGUAAAGAUUGCUAAAGCAGACUUAAGGAAAAUACCCCACCUUAUCAGAUUUGUGACAAAAGGAAAGGCUCGAAAGACCUACUUGACGAGUUUUCUUAUGAGUGAGUUCGUAGGUGCCUUUCCUUUAAUUUAAGUCGAGUGUAGCGAAGGGAUUCUCCUAAGAGAAGCUUUAGAUGGAAUAGGGGUGAAACUACUUUUAUGAGCUGUCUCAGUAGUGACCGACUUUAUUAGUUGUGUGAUUAGUGGCUUAGCUGUUAGCUGUCUAAAAGCUACGGUCAAAAUAAAUCCCUUUUGAAAAUAAACCACUAAUACGCCUUUGGUACUCUUUUAGGUCCAUGUAAGGCGGAGGGAAUGGAAUGAAGGGACCUGCUGGAGGCUGAAAAGCCGUAGUGCGCUAGCACUAGCGAGUUAGCGCAACAACUUAGUGCCUUGUUUUCUUCGCUGCUUUUAUUAACAUAAGGUUAAACGAAAGCGGUUGCUAAUGCUUGUAGCUUGCUUCUGUCCUUCGUCAAUUUUGGACUGAAGCUGUUCUGACUACCGUAUCUUUUUUGAACCGAAUACCUUCCUCUGUCAUCUCUGGUCUGUCUCUUUUUGAGAGAAUCUUUUAUACCCCGCCUGACUAUGAAGAGCCCCGAGUCUAUCGGGGGAGGAUGUGGUGGUAACCCCCGCAGCUUCGUCUAGAGCCGGGCAUCCAGCCGUGCAGGAAGACUAACCCUAGCCACUAUAGCGACCCCACCCCCAACUCUAGUUGAGAAGUUGAGUCACCCUUCUUUUUUUUCUUAUAUAAAGCUCUUUCUUUUUACCUCACUCACUAUGAGGAAUUUUACCCCAUCUUCCUAACCUCAAUCUUGUUCCUCCAAAGCUUUAUCCUAUCAAAGUGCUCUACAAAAGAAUCUGAUCAUUGAACUCUUCCUGUAUAGUCCCUGUAUAAGCUUGAAUUUUAGACUUUAUAGGACUUAAACCUCUAGUAGGUAUGCAGUUGAAGGAAAAGCGCAGCAGCAGAAGCGUCAAGGGGAGACAAAGUCUCAAAUACCAGAGCAAGUGAAUAGCAGGAAAAGGGAAGAGAAGCGGAGCGCGAGCACUCGUUACUAAGUAAAUGAAUCACAGUAGAUAUUUUUUAUGGGCCAUGCAUGAUGAGGAAGCUUGGUAUGAGCAAAGGAAGAAAAUAACACUGACAAAGAAGGUAGAUACCCAACUCUAGUUGAUGGAGCAAGGCUGGCGAAACCUUUUCUUAAUUUGUUAUCAAAAAUGUAUGUGAUGGUAAGGGCAACGAAAGAGGAAUGGUACUACCACUUGAGGAAGAGCUGAGGGCACAGCGAGGUGGGAUCGAAUCCAUUUAGUAAAGCCAAUUAUGGCGAAAACCCUACCCAAAUAUGAUUGUAUAGAACUUGUUCCUGUGUAGGUAGAGUCCAAUUAUGAUCGAGUCCUCUAUUCCCGUGUAGGUAGAGUAGUCCAACUAUGAAUGUUAUGGACCAGACAACUGAACUUGUCGAGGGAAGGGGUCAGCUUCCAUUCAUUGCUCUUUCUAUCGGUAUGCUGAAACCACACAUCUGAAAGUAAGGGUCCGUGGGCUGGUCUAUCCUCCCGGGACUUCUUUAUUCGUCAAUAUCUAUACCCCGUGACUUUCUUGCUCGAAACUAAGCCAAUUGACUCGUCCGAGUUCCUGUCAAGAGAGGGAACUAAGAAAUCAAGUAUAGCAGUGUGCGACGCUCUGUCAACACCUUGUACAGACCGGUUCUCCUCUACCUUGUGCCGCCCAACGGAGUCUGUCUGGCAGUUCUCCAAUUGCUUUGUCCUCAAAAUCUACAUGAUGGGUAAGUUCAAAGGUCUUUCCGAACGGGGUUGUUAUUAGCCGUGGGUAGUUUGAUGUACUGGUUUUGGGUGCUGGGUGGUGAUGGAAUCCUUAUUCUGCUCGUCGGGAUUUAAGGCUCCAUCCGAAUCAAGGAGAAGCCACAGUCUAAGAAACCAAGGUAUAAUGUAAUAAUGUACACAGAGUCAACACCUCUACCAAUAAGGAAUCAAGUAAAGUAAUCGGUUGAACGCGGUCUAGGUAGAAGUCUGCCUAUUCCUGCGUUGUGCCGGAAGUCUUUAAUACUUUCUUGAUGCUAGGGAAGGGAGUAGCUAUUGAAUAUAAUCAAGUUCAGCAGUCCAGGCGGGAGGAGUCAAUCUGUAAUUCCCGUAGUUCCAUAGGCAGGAAGCGCAUCAACGAGUUUUUGUAUCUCAGCAGUAGGGACCGAACUUCAAGCAAUAGGGAUCCGUGUUCAAGGCUAGGAUCUAUGUAAUAUGAAUAGUUAGUUGCGCACCCGUCAAGCAGUUCUCACUCCAAGCAGGACUCUUCUAUGGAUUAGUGGGAAGGUGCAGGAUAAGAGAAGAUUCGUCUAUCUAAGUUGCUGACGAGCCAGUACUGUUCGUGGGCAAGCAAAGUUUCAACUCGCAAUCCAUUUCUACAGAACGGAGAAAGGUUAUGCAGGCAGGUGUUCAUUUGCAGUUGCUGGUUGGGGCCGUGGGGAUGGAAAGAAAGAUGAAUAGUUUAGUUGGCCUUGGCCGGAGAUGGAGACGGGUAGGUAGAGAAUACCUAUAGACAACUCACUCUAAGCCCCGUGUGAAUCUCUUUGCUAGUUGAAAGAGACUGCUUUUCUAGUUCCGUCAACAACAGAUCCAGCUUGACUCCGUUCACUCAUUUAGAUGCUUACUAUCUGGUCUGGUCGAGCUCUCUUUGACCCUCAGGUUGAGCCAGCCUGAAAUGCAAGUAGUUUCACUAAGUAGAUGAAAUAGACUCCCCAUACGCAGAGGAAACGAGAUCAACAGAUUCAACUUCCCCUACUGAACCUUCGGCUACUACAAGAUCUUUAUAAACCAAAGAAGCUGAGCCUACUUUAUGCACUUCCGCACUAAGCAGGCAAGGCCAACUACACAAGCAAGAAGGCAUCGCCUGCGGCUUCCAAUCCAAUGACAAGCAAAAGACGAAGAAGGAACUUACUAUACCUUACCUCCUUGUGCCCAUAGCUUGACCUCAUCCUUGAACUACAGGAGCGGUCUUGCAUACUUACACAACACACAUAUGAAAAUAAGGCCUUUUCUCGAUAGUUGAUAGAGGUUCCUAUCUGAUCUUUUUCAGAGGCCUUCUGCUUAAAGAAAGGGGGGCAUAGAGAGAAGGCUAUAGAGAGGCUAAGAGAAGAGCUACUAUCCGGAGAGCGAGGAAAGAAAGCUAGCAGCUAUCAUAGAAGAGAGGUCUUAUCCUUACUUCAAUCAAUCAGUCUUGGAAGUGUGAAUCGAUUCAAGUCAGAUUACGUCCUAUGGUAUGGUAGGCUAAGAAUUUCAUAAUCAAUGAGGGGAUAAUUAACAAGUCUUCUACUAUAGGCUAACUCAUUCCUGGAAUUUCCUAGACUCAAAAGAAGGGAGGAGUGAUAACCCUGAUCGGAAUCUACGCAAAGAUUCAGAUAAGGAAUAGCCUAGCAUUGUUUAGGUAACUAGGAAAAGAAAGAGGAUUCACAUAUUGCCUACUUUCUUACUGUACUUCUUUCUGUCUUUCCUUCCUUCCGUUCAGGGGCACUCUAAAGGCUUUGUAUCCUUCAGAGCUGGUUGACAGCGGUCUAGUCAGUCCCUCUCGCUCUUUGAUAGACAUCUUUCGGUUCUCGGUCUCAUCCGACGAACUACCUACUUUAGGUCCUUAUUCUGUGUCCUAUCCUUCCUUGCGGAUUCCCGGUUUCUGAAGGAGUAGCGGUCUCUGUCUCCGGCUCUGGGAGAACUUUACCUAUAGCUAACCUAGAGAGCUUUAAUUUAAGAUAGCUCGGGCGGGCACUCUUAUUCGGAAAGAGGAGUUGCUUGCCUUACCACACCAACCACCUUAGCGCUGGAAGUUCCAGCAAUGGGCAGCUAGGCAAAGGAAGAUUAGAUAGCAAAUUCAUAUUCAUUAGAUAAGAGAUUGUGGAUCUGUUCUUAGUGAGGACAAUCGGAUUGGUACGAUAAGGUCAGUUGAGGGCAGCAGCACACCAAUAAGUGGAUUGCCAUUCUUGUACUGUUUGGGUAAAGGGCAGGAGCACUCUUUCCCUCUCACCAGUACUUACUAUAAGGGGUGGGGCGGAACUGGUUCAAACCAAAUAUCCAACAGCCGCUUUCCUUAAUGGUUACCCGCUUUCGAGUGAACUGAACUCUUGGACUGGCUGAAAGGAAAACUGUACAAGGCAUUUUACACUCGUUUACGGGACCUGUGUCAAAGGAAAGGAUUGUUGCACUUUCUUUCUUGAAUGAAUCGACAUUUGUGGAUGGUUGUUCAUUCGGGAUUCUUUUUUCUAUAUUUAGAACUACUGGAUCAACUGAUAAAAGCCUGUCAAAGGACGAUCUUAGCUAAUACAAUCGCUCGUUUACACGAGCUUGUUAUAGAUGACAUUAGCGUACAGGAAAGUAGCAAACGACUACUUAUCCAUCAUCUUUUAUGAGUGAAACAACGAGCUCUAUGACUAUUUUUCUUUUAGCCGAAGGCCUUUUGACUGUUAUAGUCUCUCUCUUGGACUCUUCUCACGAAUUGGAUUUGAACCAAUCAAGCUACUUGCCCUUUAGUAGAUCGUGAGUGGGUCUGUCGUCCUCCUCAUUAUAGUCCUCCUAGAAUCAAUAGCAUUUCAUUGGAAUACAUCCUGUCUUUUCACCUUAGUCGUCCUAUGCAUAGUUAGUAUUAUAGCCCCAAUCAUGGCUACUAAUAAAAUAAGACUAGGAACCAAAAACCAGACGGAAUAGUAGGUAUAAAGUAAAUUGCCCAAUGUUUCCAAAUUAGUCUAACUUCGUACCUUUCCGGCAUAAACCAUAUAUCUCAGAGAGGUCGUAUUUCUUUGGGUUGGUAGUAAUGGAAUGCUUUCAUUAUCUAAAAUGAAGAACAUUUCCCACCAAAAAAUCAGUCCAAUAAUACCACUCAUUGGUAAAUAGCGCAAUACUUCCUCGUGAAUCUCCGCUAUUUGAAUAUGGAACAUCAUAACAACGAAUAGGAAUGAAACGGCUAUAGCUCCUAUAUAAACUACUGGGAAGAUCAUAGCGAAGAAGUCGAGACCUAACAAAAGAAGUAAACCUGAAGUGUUGCAAAAGACUGGGAUGGGAAACGAAACGGAAUGUAUCGGAUUUUUAGCACGUACAACCAUCAAACCAGAGACCAAAGCAAGGCUCGACAAAACAGAAAGUAUCAUAGUACGCUGUCCUUCCCUGAAAUAGAAAUUUCAUGCUGGAGCAUUCAAGUCGAUCUAUUACGACCAGUGCGGUUGUUCGUAUUUCAUUUUCUUCUUCCAAGCCCUUCUUAGAAAGCACUCACUGAGUUACUUACGAAAUCUCAAACCUCUCUCGACGCUGAGAAUUUUUUAUGUGUCUAGGUAGAUCAGAGGUUCGGCUUCCUUCUCCCCCACCUUUUAGCGCUCUGGGCCCCUGAAAAAAGAAAGCUGAAAGACCCUGAAGAAUCAUUCUCAAUUCUUCAUUCUGUUGGGCUUCGAUAGCCUUUCUUAUACUAGAAUUUUGAGUUUUGUACAGAUCAGUCCUGAAAUAGUUGACGAAGCCUCAAGGCUUGCUCCAUCUUUUUUUUAUGGAGGCGCUUACUUAUAGAGGUCAACUCGGCCACACGAGCCUUACGCCUCUCAAAUUCCAGUAGUUGCUUAUGGCUGGUUCUCUCUUCCUCUAAAUACUGGUUAAAGCUUUCUUGAUAGAGCUCUCUCUCCAUCACCUUCGAGUAGAAAGGAGCGUCCCCUUGCUCGGUCCAUAAAGUAGUAAAGACUCCGUCUAGCUCCUCAGGAUGGUAGCUUUGAAGAGUGAAAAGAAUACAACGUGUAAGAGAGCCGCCAGGCAUGUAUAAGAGCUUAUCUUCAUUUCUAUAGUAAAAAGUUAGAUAUAUACAGAUAAUAUUCUCUUCCAUCUUUGGAGACACGAUAAACGCAUCUGGAACGGGCAAAAUAUGCAUAGGUUGGAUGAGAGAGGAUAAAUCCUGAGCUAGGUUUAAAAAAGAUGAACCCACCCUAAAACCAUAAUAAAAGGCGAAAUAAAAAAUUAGCCAUCUUUUGGCAUUUAGAAAAAGGGGAUUUUUUCCCAUAAAUAAAUAAAAAAAGGGCUCAUUUUAAUUGCCAAGUCAAAAGAGAAGGAACUAUAAUAAGGAAACCGACAAGCAUUUUUUUGAAAAGCCCGGUUCUCUUUGUCUUCGAGCUUUUUUUUACGUCCUAGUUUCUUCAUCUUUAUAUGUUUUGGCCACGUCCGUUUCCGCUCCGAAGAAGAAGGUUUGGAUCUUUCAAUCUUAUGUCGUGAGGGAUGUGCCCUAUGCUAGGUCCAUAAGAUACCACAGCUUUUAGUGUUCUAUGAUUCACCUCCGAAUAAUGAGUAGGUAGUUCGACCCUUUUUCUUUGUCUCUUCAUAGUAAACGGAUGGGGGGAUGCGGAGCAAUAGGUCGAAUUACUAUAAAAAGAAGAGUUGUAAACUAUAGGACGGGUAGGAAUAUUUAGGUUUUUCUCGUUCCUUCUCUUCAAUAAGAAUAGGGAUUGAUCAAAAUUCCUCUUCAUUCUAUUGUGCUCAGCGAAAGAACUGCCUAAGCAUACUUUUUCGGAUCCAAACUUCUUUGUUCCUUCUAAGUCUUCUUCUUGCAUAGAAGAACGUAACUUUUGUAAAAACCGGUCUUUUAGUAGUAGGUGGCAUCCCCUCUUAUUUUUUAGUAGGCGGAACCAUUCUGUUUUGGUUCUUCUCCACAUUCUUACCGGGUGAUCCCAGAAUUUUCCUAUUCUUUUUUCAACAGAUAUUUCGAUAUAGAAGGAUCUCCUUAUUUCUUCACCGCGGGCUCUCGCAUCAUUUUCUUUAAAAGAUAUUAUAUCACCGUGGGAAACUUUAAAAUGAGUAAUGCUUACCAUUCCAUUAUUCACACAAACCCUUCGAUGACUUAUCGGCUGCCUUGCUUGAGGAAUAGUUUCACGAAAAUGGAGACGAACCAGAAUAACGUCCGAUCUUGUUUCUGGAUUGAGUGGAAAAGGGAUAUAUGAAGUUUGUUCUGUUCCUCUGUGCAUCUCUGUGAUGGGUAAAUCUCCAUGAAAAAGGGGAAACUUUCGUGUAGUUUAUGAUUAGAUGUAACUGUUAAGAUUUUCUCUCGAAUAAAGAUUUCUCUUAAUAGAUCUCUUUUUGUUCCUCAAUCUUCGGAGAAUGCGGCGUUGUAUUAUUGUAAGUUCUCUGUUCCAAACAUUUCCUGAAAGUAGACGACAAGUUUUAAAUCUUAACGCAGGCAAGUGCAUAUUUUGUUGAAUUAGUCUUUUUCGCCACAUCGGGGUUAUGGGAGUCGAACCCAAUUCUGUUGUCCGCCGAUAACCCCCGAACGAGCAAAGCUCUAAUAUGUUAUUGUUGACAAGGGCUUCCGCGACACCCCUUUGCUACUCGAUACGCAACUGCGCAUCCUGCACACCCUGAUUGAGUCUGAUUGAGCCCUGGAGUGGUAGAACCUGGUGAACCGGGCUACUCCUUCCUUCAGGUCCGAGGUUGAGGCAGGCUCAGGCUCUGACGCUAUAGGCAAAUUGAGAUCGAAACGCAUGGGCGGAAGAAGGAGAUCAGUACUCUUUUUCUCACCCCCAGACAGAUCAGUUGAUGGAUAGAGGUUCAUCUUACGUCAAAUAUGCCACUCCGGAGUCUCCUUGAACAGGAAUCAUUACCUUCGAUAACAUCAACUCAUAUUGCAACUCAUCUCUUUACCAGGAGCGCCGCCCACUCUAGCAAAAACUAUACGCAUCGAAUGAAGGUGACUGGCCCGAUCCGAAGAGAAAGUCAUCACUUCUUUGUGCUAGUCUUUCGAAUUUCGUAGCUCUUUCUUUUUCGGGGCCUAUCCCGGAUGAGAAAGAUACAAAGCCUGUUGACUCUGAUGCUUGCUUGAUGGGAGAAAUGGGUUGGGAUCUCUGUCGCAUGCAAAUCUUUCUAUCGGGAAAGCCUCGCUUAUUCAAAGGGCGGAUUCUUUAUUACCCUUUUUGCUCAUAAGUAAGUAAGCAUUGGUAGGAGCGGCGGGAUGAUGAUGAGUAUAUAAAAAAAGAAAGACCAAAAAGAAGAAAUGGCAAGAUCCAUUUUAUAUCGAUGGAGGAAAUAACGAUGUGGAAAACAGGACAGGGAUUCUCUACAAUGACACUGUAGACCAAUUGAAAGGGAUGUAGCGCAGCUUGGUAGCGCCUUUGUUUUGGGUAAAAAAUGUCACGGGUUCCAAUCCAAUCCUGUCAUCCCUACCUAUUCUUCUCCUCUGGGCAGUAACGAGGGAUCCAUUGGGAUCGAUUCAAAUUGGACAUACAGAAUCUUUUUCAUUUUAUGAGACUAUAUGCAUGCAAGAUGUAUUGGGGGUACAAAAAGAAUCCUUUUCUUUACAGUCGUAUCUACUGUGAUAAGAAAGCGCUCUUAGUUCAGUUCGGUAGAGCGUGGGUCUCCAAAACCCAAUGUCGUAGGUUCAAAUCCUACAGAGCGCGAUUCCGUUCUUGUUAGGUCUAAUUACAAUGAAAGAACUUCACUAACUUGAACAGCAACCUCAAUUUUACCUCCUGCGGAUUCAAGAAAGGAGGAAGUAAAUCAAAAAGAUAUGUUAAUUAAUCAAAGGUCCAACUGAUCGCCGCGUCUGUAUUGUAAAUAUGCAGUUACGAAGAAUCCAGCCAAAAUGUAAUAUGUGUUUAUGUAGCUAUUGGUCAAAAAGCAUCUUCUGUGGCUCAGGUAGUGACUACUUUCCAGGAAAGGGGGGCGAUCUCCGAAUCUCUAAGCAAGAAGGAUUGAAAGUUUGAAAGACCUUAAGAUUGCAUAGUCGACUAUGAGAACUCUCUUCUCUCUCUGUCUUUCCUUCUGUCAAACGUCUUGCGCUGUACCCUUAAGCCAGCUUUUGCGUCAAGGGGGUAGCGACUGUUUAAAUAACCCGUUCUAUCUAUCAUAUACUGGUGUCCGCUUUUCACGAGAAUCAAGUUUACCAGUUGAAAAAACGACCUUCUUUUUAAGCCUUCAUUCAUUUUUUGGUUACUUGUCCUCGAGGUACGAUGUUUGUGAAGGCGGUAGAUGCUACAUUAGAAGUGAAGGAUGCAAUUAAAUUCUUCUGACUGGCGCAGAUGAUUGUCUUCUUUAAGGUAGGAGAGGCGUAGUGCAGGUUCUCGUUUAUAACGUUGCUAACUGUUUUUGUAUGUUGCAGCAUACAAGAAAUGAGAGCACCGGUCGGUAAGCGAACUGAAAGAUUGGAAGAAUUUCAUUUUCUCGUCCACAAAUAGGAGUUAACCUAGUGAAGCCUAGAAGGAUUCUCUUGAGUCAUUGUAUAUUAAUACAGAAAUAAGUAGUUCAAAUAGAUGCUCCAGCGAAGACUCUAGAUGUGGACAUAGCUCAUGGCGAAAGGCCUUGAAUCACCCCUUUCCAUUCCAUUGGGUCUAGCAGGCAAGAGGGGAGGAUGCUAUCCUAUUAUGCUAUGCCCCAGUUGCAGCGGUGCCGAGAUGCCGGGGAUAAAGUACUAGUUCUCUUAGUCAAUCUUUUGCCUACAUCUCUAGCCGCACAAGGCCAAUAUGUGAAUACUUGGAGAGUGCAGUACAAGGUAGGCGAUCUUUGCUGCUUUUCUUUGUUUAUAAGCUCGCUCGUAAGGCGAGGAUAAGCAGUUCUAUCGGAGUCUCGAUUCGCGUCAAUAUGUACAUACUGGCUGGGCUAAAUAUGCAAGCAUUUGAGGACUAAAACCUCCAUUUAGGGACCGAGGGCUGUGAAGCAUUCUGGGAAUGAGGUAAGGACCUCUUCUCUCUGACGUAGCCAAAGUGAGAACCAUUCGACCGAGGUCGAGAUCUAAGCCGGUCCAUAGCACAGGUGCUGCAGUGAAAGAUUCCGCCGUAGCUAGAUGCCUUGAAGAAAGAGCAAAAAGACUCAGUCCAUGGCUCCAGUCAAAAUGGCCCUUCCCUCCCUGAAAGCCCUGAUCGUAGACCGCCCUUUUCCAUUCUUUUUCCAAUGAGGAGUCCGACCGAUGAACCUUGGGAGCAUCCCGGGCAAGAUCUAUGGCUUCAGCUGCGGCUAAGUGAACUACCUAUUUAUAUAUUCUAUAGAAGUUAAUAUGAGAGAAAAAGCUCUUCUUUCACAUAGUGGGAGGCUGGCCUUCUCUCUUCCCAAUUCUCCCAAUGAGACCUCUUUCACUCGGACGACCCAGAGGACUUUAAUAAAGCCCCCUUUUGCCUCAUCACGAUCUCCCAGUGAAGUAGCGGCUCCCUCCUAUUACUAUUUCUGGGGUGGAGUCGAAGCUAUGGCCCCAGAAAGUCAAAGAGAUUCCUUCCUGAACCACUCGUGUAGUCUUCUUCCUGCCUCCCAGUUAGGCCCUAUCUCGCUUUCCAAGUCUCAUUUGGAUGAGGCGCCGGCGCUACUAAAUGCAACUCCCAUUUCAACAUUCUUCUCUAUUGGCCCUUCCUUCUCCAUCUGCCUAGAGAACCUCUCUUUCCCUACAAGGCACUAGAAGGUCGACCCCACUUUCCACACUAUGUUGACUUUACUCCUGAGCCCAGUCAUUCCCCGCCACUCUUUCACACAGCAUCGAGGGCUUUUUCAUAAGAAGCAGCACUCUAUUUUCCACUUUGAUAGCUUUCAAGAGUAUCUUUCAUACAUCGUUCGGGUCUCUAACCCCCUCCAGAUGGCCUCUCGGUCUUCCCCCACUUCGACUCACCAAGGAGAAGGUAAGUACUGUUAUAUCGUUUCUUCUGAAGUGAUAUAGAUCAAUGCCUGGAUUGGGGGGGGGGGGCGUCGGCCCACGGGAAAACAUUUGCAGAUGCGACCAUGAAUCGAACCAGAUCGAAACAUUCAGCUGUCGAUGGAAAAACUUUUCUGGAACGUCGACCGCAAAUGAAGGAUGGCCAGGCCCCGGUUCCUAGGGUUAGGGUAUUCCCUAUUAUGAGCCUACUCAGAUCAGAACUAAACUGGUUGAUUCUCAUUCGCCAAGUGGGCCCUCUUGGCCAACCACGACCUUGGCUUUUUAGAGAAUCCCGCUCCUGUGUCGUAGGACUUGUAGCUCGGCAGUCCACCGGGUGGGUUUGU